rnacentral:rRNA from 1 species
GACGAACGCUGGCGGCGUGCUUAACACAUGCAAGUCGAACGGAAAGGCCUUUUCGGAGGUACUCGAGUGGCGAACGGGCGAGUAACACGCAGGUGAUUUGCCCUGCCCUCUGGGAUAAGCAUGGGAAACUGGGUCUAAUACCGGCUAGGACCGCACUCUAGCGGGUGUGGUGGAAAGUUUUUUGGGUGUGGGAUGGGCCCGCGGGCUAUCAGCUUGUUGGUGGGGUAAGGGGCUUCCCAGGCGGCGACGGGGAGGCGGACUGGGGGGGUGGACGGGCACAAUGGGGACUGGGAACGGCCCAGGAUCCUACCGGGAGGAAGAGGGGGGAAAAAUGCACAAUGGGGGGGAGGCUGGAGCAGCGACGCCGGGGGGGGGAAGAAGGGCUUUGGGGUGGAAAAUCGUUUCGGCAGGGACGAAGGGGUUUGUGACGGUAACGGGAGAAGAAGCACCGGCUAACUACGUG